AAGCAUAACUGAAGAAAACUGAAAUAUGAAUGAGUAAAGUGGAGAAGAAUGACCAGCUGGAAGUAAGCAAAGAUGAAAUAUCUUUUUAAAUGGCAUUACCACUCGUAAAAUGUUAGCAUUACACUGGAGCCUGAGCAUGGUAUCCACAAAGGUUAGCACACUGCAUAUGGAUGCUCCUUGUAGGAGAUGGGGGAUUUGAAGAACCUUGCUUUCUCCAGGAUUUGAAUGCAAAGCUCUGUAAAGGAAGGAGACACCUUCUCCUGAUGAGGAUUUGAAGGCAUGGACCUCCUCACUGAGAUCUUGUGGCAAUUAAAAUUCAAGGUGAGAGAGACAUGAAUAGCAGAAGCAAUCUGAACAAAUGGCUGCAGCCUUCUGAUCAGUCAAUGUUGAAAUGUUACUUCCUGAUGACUGUCCCUACCUGACUACCAAGCCAUAGAAUAACAACUGAAGAGAAUAGACUGCAUAUUGCCUGCCCGAAUUAGGAGGAUAUCCUUGUACUGGAUCAGGCAUGACUACUUGAUACUGGCAAGAG